rnacentral:rRNA from 1 species
GCCAGAGGAGGCAAGCGUUAUCCGGAAUCACUGGGCGUAAAGCGUCUGUAGGUGGUGAUGCAAGUCACUGGUGCAAAACUCUGGCUCAACCGGAGGAAAGCCAGUGAAACUGCAUGACUAGAGUGUGGGAGAGGUAGAAGGAAUUCCCUGAGUAGCGGUGAAAUGCGUAGAUACAGGGAAGAACACCGGAGGCGAAAGCGUUCUACUGGAACACAACUGACACUGAGAGACGAAAGCUAGGGGAGAGAAUGGG